rnacentral:rRNA from 1 species
GGAUUAGGCAUGCAAGUCGAACGGUAGUAUCCUUUCGGGGAUAUGAGAGUGGCGAACGGGUGAGUAACACGUAGGUAAUCUACCCUCAAAUCGGGGACAACCCAGGGAAACUUGGGCUAAUACCGGAUGAGUGCAGCACCUUGAUUUUCCGGUGGGCGGUGAAUGGUUAAAUCUAUUUACCGGACAUUGGGAAAUGAAGGUGCUGUAUAAAAGAUGGCGUAAGCUGUCGUUUGAGGAUGAGCCUGCGCUCUAUUAGUUAGUUGGUGGGGUAAUGGCCUACCAAGGCGAUGAUAGAUAGGCGGCCUUAACGGGUGGCCGCCCACACUGGGAUUGAGAUACGGCCCAGACUCCUACGGGAGGCAGCAGUCGAGAAUAGUCUACAAUGGACGAAAGUCUGAUAGUGCGACGCCGCGUGAACGAAGAAUCCCUUCGGGGUGUAAAGUUCUUUUAUAUGUGAGCAAUGCUUUUUAUGUGAAUAGCAUGAGAAGAGAGAUAUUAGCAUAUGAAUAAGCAACGGCUAACUCCGUGCCAGCAGCCGCGGUAAUA